CUCUAGAGAUUUAGAACAGGACAUGGGGCUUGGCCGAGAACGGAUCGCGCAGCACGCGCAGAUCAGGGCGUUCGGCGACGGUAUAGCCCGCGCGGAAAUCACCAAACGCAAUCGCCAUCGCGUUAUCAUCGAUAUCCGGCAUAUCCUCUGCGAUCAGCACGCGGUACCCCAGCAGACGGGCCGGUUCGCUGACGGCGAGGCCAUCGGUCCACACAAAGCGCCCAUCAUUGUCCUUCAGCUUGCGCACGUGGCCGGCAGUUUUGGAGUUCAUGACAAGGGUCGCGUUCGCCCGGUAUUCCGCGCCUAGCGCAUAGACCAGAUCGAUGAUCGGGUCAGCGCGGGUGAUGCCGCCGGGUGUCUCGGAGGGCACAUAGCCAAGGUUGCCCCAGGUCCAGCUGUCGUUGUCGACGGUACCGUAGGUGAGCAGGCCGGUGGGCUUGUCCACACCAUCGCCAUUGAUGAAGGCAUCCGCUUCGGAACGCGCAAACUUGUCCGCGAUGCGACCGGCGAGCCAGCCCUCAAUAUCAAAGGCGCUGUCAUCCAGCAGACGCUGUGACGCCUUUGGCAAAGCGGAAAGCUCAUGCAGCGGGAUGCUGAUCCGCUCGAUCUGGGGCGUAUCGGUUUCGGCGAUGUUGCUGGCUUCGGUCGCCCAGCCAGCGCCCAUUUCCGUGUGGUCGAUCAGCACGUCAUAAGACGUUGCGUCGACAUUCACCACAUUCGCAACAGCGCGAAUAGAGGCUGUCGAGGACAACGUGCUCUGAAUACGCUCGGCCGUUUGCGGAUCGACCAGAUAGCCAAUCGUCGACCUG
rnacentral:rRNA from 1 species